CCUGCCCAGUGAUAUAAUAAUUUAACGGCUGCGGUAUUUGUGACCGUGCAAAGGUAGCAUAAUCAUUAGUCUUUUAAUUGAAGGCUUGUAUGAAAGGUUAGACAAGAGAAAUACUGUCUUUUAAAAUAAAAAUUGAAUUUAACUUUUAAGUGAAAAGGCUUAAAUAAUUCAGAGGGACGAUAAGACCCUAUAAAGUUUUAUAAAAGGUAAAUUUUUACUAAUGGUUUAAAAGGAUAAAAUUUAUAUGUUUAUUAAGUUGGGGAAACUAAGGUAUAAAUUAUAUUUAUUAAUUGCUUAUAAUUAUAAUACAAAAUAUAUUUGUUUAAAAUUAAAUGGUCCUUUAAUUAAUUUAAAGAUUAGAAGAUUAAAUUACUUUAGGGAUAACAGCGUUAUUUUUUUUGAGAGUUCUUAUCGAAAAAAGAGUUUGCGACCUCGAUGUUGAAUUAAAAUUUUCUGUAUGGUGCAGUUUGUCAUAUAAAGAAGGUCUGUUCGACCUUUAAUGUUUUA
rnacentral:rRNA from 1 species